AAACAAACAAAAUUAAACACCAACACUUGAACACCAACCACGGACCGGUUUCAUGCAAGGGGUCCAGUGAAUGCAAAGAAAGCUGUGGCUGUCCAGAUUUAAGUGGACUUACGGUCAGUUCUCCUGCUGUCAGUCAAGUCUCGGUCAGUGAGGUUGAGUC